rnacentral:misc_RNA from 1 species
CCGAGUUAGGGUCUUUCUGGCCCGACCUCCAACCCUUUGUUUACUAUACCAUGUUGCUUUGGUGGGCCUGCCUUUCGGGGCUGCCGGGGGCAUCACUGCCCUUGACCUGUGCCUGCCAGGAGCCUUUUUAAAUUCUGUGUUCAACUGUGCUGUCUGAGUCCCGGUAUCAAAAUAUACA